UGCCCGAUGGUGUAAAGGCAGCACAGGGGUCUUUGGAACCUCUAGUCCAGGUUCGAAUCCUGGUCGGGCAA
rnacentral:tRNA from 1 species